rnacentral:rRNA from 1 species
ACAGAGGUGGCAAGCGUUGUUCGGAAUUACUGGGCGUAAAGGGCGUGUAGGCGGUCCGCUAAGUCUGAUGUGAAAGCCCGGGGCUCACCCCCGGAAGUGCAUUGGAAACUGGUGGACUCGAGUCCCGGAGAGGAGGGUGGAAUUCCUGGUGUAGCGGUGAAAUGCGUAGAUAUCAGGAGGAACACCGGUGGCGAAGGCGGCCCUCUGGACGGUGACUGACGCUA